AAAAUAAAAUUUGUAAAAUUUUGUAGAAUUCGUUCGUCCCGACACCGAUGGCUGGUACGCGGCCACUUCAUGGUGCCAAGUUCCCGCAAGACACCGUUUCUCCAGCUUAGAGCUUCAGCUCCACCUUCACUCACAGUUUCCUCCUGCUACCGUUCCCUUUGAAACUUCCUAUCUCAAAGCAAAAACUCUUCACCAAACGCCAGGCACAUCACCUCCACCUUGCAUCUCAAAUCAACAUCUUUCCCAGAGACGUUGCUUUGCUCUCCUUCCUCGAUCUUGUCCCUUUCCUCUAACAACCUGCUCCUGCUACUGCAUUUUCCAUCGGCAUUUGUACGCGCCACUCUGUUGCCUUGGAAAAUUUGAAUAUAUUUAAUUCUGGCUAAUUGCUCCUGAAACCCUAAUUUAUUAGGUUUUAAGCAACUGGACUUCGGGAGCAAAAGAAGGCGGCCUCGAAAUUCCUGUUGGCACCUUUCGAUGCCUCCCGAGAAAGCCUUCGCCCUGCCUAUCUCUUACCCGGUGCACCAUUUUCUGAUAAGCAUUCAGCGGGUGGUGAAGUGGAGUAUGUGAAUAAGGAAUUGCAGGAGCCAGGAAGUUCAAAGGCUGUUGAGAUCUGCCGCCAGGGAUUGUAUUCCGCAAGAGAGGAAUUCGUUUGUUGCGUUUCAGGCCAAUACCGGAGUUCAGAUCUUUCUCUUCUCUUAAUGUACUGGCGAAUGAAACUGACAUUCAAGUUGCUUCCAAUGGCCAAUAGAAAGAAGGUAGCUGAUGCACUAAUGAAUACUGUCUCUUCACUAAACAAAUUUGAGUUGGGUGUGAAGGACUGACUUGAAGUUUGAUCGGUUUUUCUAUUUAAUCUCAGAAUUAAAUCCCACUCUUGGUAGGUGCAGGCUACCUGAAUUGUAAUAGAGGGGUCUGAUUGGAAUGAAGUCUAGUUCAGGUUUGUUACUCUUAUGUUAUGUGUAGUUCUUUUUGUUCAGUUUGCUUGUUGUGUUUCUUAUUUAUGCUAAUUAUGGAAUUUGUGACAUCAACACAGAAAGCUUACUCUCUUCCACUCUGCACCCCUAGAAAAAUAUAUUUCCAUGUGAUUUCUGGAUUAGUUAAACAUUCAGUAUCUGUCCUGUUGUUCCAGUGAUUAAAACUUUGCAUCCCUUUUGGAAUUGCAGAGUUGCUUAUUGUUGACCAUGGCAUGGAUAAUACUUUACUUGAUAUUUUAGCUACUUCAGGUAUGAAUCUGUCAAUUAGUGACGCCAUUGUUUUGUGCAUGGAGGAAAAGCUGCUCUACAGGCUAUUAUGCUUUGAAACUCACUGGUUUACCUGUGUAUAAUUUUCUAAUAACUUGGUCAGCAUGGGGUUGUCUGCUUGUUGAAAAUUCAUGUAUCAAUAAUUUUCUGCCUCUAUUAUGGACUGAUAAUAAUAAUAAUAAUAAUAAUAAUAAUAAUAAUAAUAAUAAUAAAUUAAGAUAUGAACAAUUUUUCUGACAUUGUAUCCUGCAACUAUUUGAGAUAGUUGCUUAGUUUUGUAGUGUAGGUAUACAUUACAAAUGGAGUAUUUGAAAUGCAUCAAAGUCCUGGAUAUGAGAUUCUUGAAUAAGUGCCAGCCCCUGUUCAUUAACAUGCUCUUUCCUGGCUGAUGCUAAAUCUGUGCACCCUUUCCUUCAUAUGAAUUGGACCUAUUGUGCUUGUCUCAUACCUACUUGAACUAUUGUUGAAAAUUAACAGCUGUUAGUAGUAGAUAUAUACUUUCAGAAUACAUCGUUUGGGCCAUCUGGUUAAAAGAGAUAAGGAGAAACUUGUGCCGGGUGGAUUCAUCAUGUGCCAUGUGGUUUUGGCUUUUAUAUGUUGGAUCAAAAGAAAACUUCUGCUGGCUUAGACCAAGCAUAGCCCCAUUUUAGCCAGGAGUCAGAAAUGUGGUUGUGAGUGUGAAAUAUGAGUGUCCUUGCUCUUAUCUCUUCAGCUGUUCCCUGCUAAAAUGGAUCCUUUUUCUGAAAAGAAAUUAUUUUUGAGUGUGAAAUAUGCUAGCAUAUGUUUGAGUUGCUUGGAGAACUAAACACUGCUUUAAUGCAGUUUGCAUUCCUGUGAUUUCUACAAACAAUGACAGAGACAUUUAUACUAUAUUUGGGUGUUGGAACAUGUGAUUUCUGCAAUAUGAUCAAAUGACUCUUUCUGUUGAGUGGGAACACCUGAAGCCUGUACCAAAUACAAGCGACAACAAGGUUUUCCAUCAUCGGGAUAUGUCUGCAUUGAUCUUGGCAAGCUGCGAAGCUUGUUGAACAGAUUUAGUGGAUCGUCCAAGAGCCCAAAAUGAGCAUCAGGGUCACCAAUCUGUGAAAGCUUUACAUGGGAAAACCCUAGAGAUGGCAGCAGAUGAUCAGGCCAAUCACAGUAGAAGUGGAAGAUGGAAUUGGGCAGAGUGGUGGAUGGUUUAUUCAUGAAAUCGGCCAAGAGAACUGUGUGGGCAAGGGCACACUUGUCAGCUAUGAUCUUCAGUACUUGCGUGGCGUGGGAGUGAGAAAGGUAGUAGAGGAUACCUUCUAGGAUCCAGACCGUGUUCUUCUCUGGUACAAACCCUGAUAUCUGAAGUUUUUCAAGCAAGUCAUUAUUUCUGAUGUCAGCUGCUACUCUGUUGAGGGACUUUGCUGUUAUUUUUGGAUGCUUAUGUUCAUCUAUGGAUCCCAUUGCUGCAUCUAGAAGAGUGGCUUUCACUUCUAAGACUUCAGGAAAAUCAACUUCAAAGACAUCGCUUUCCCUCAAGCAGCUUAGACGGGCCAGCUUAAGACAAUGCAAUCAUUUGUAGUGUGAGCUUUCCAAAUGAUAAAUUUAAUUGGCAGCAUUGAUUUCAAAUAAAAGUACUAUUUGGAACAUGCUAAAAUUUGUGCUUAGUAGGCACCAACCUGCACCAAGGAGAACAACCUGUGCUUCACCAUUGAAGGAAUUGAGAGCAGCCUCAAGUUUUGAAUCAAACCAGAGGGUUCGAACAGCGAGAAGCACUCCUGAAAUUUCUCGGGCAUUUUUGAGGCAGUCAUUCUUUAUCUUCUCAUGAAAGUUUCUGAGAGAAACUUGAAGAGUAAUGGAAGAUAGGUGAGUGGGAGAGCAAGUGAUAUAUAAUGGGAAGUGGGAGAAAUCAGGCAUUGUUGUAAGAGAUAAGAAAAGAGAGCCACAUAUAACCAACGUUUGAGAAUCGAGCAAAACCGUAUCCAGCUUCUCUGCCUUGAGAAAAAGGAAGGUAGCAAUUUAGUCCACGGGUGCCACCAUUUAUUUUGCACGACCCUUCCUUUUCUGCUGUCCCUGUCGGUUGAAACAAGUAGCUAUGAAAUAUUAAUUGAUCCGGCUAUGCACAGGAAUAAGCCCUAUCAUCAGCUGUGGGUGGCUCUCAACCCUCUGGUUGGACUUGGAUAAUAAAAUACGACUUUACAUUGUCUAAACAAGUACUCCUUUGUCAUUUGGUCACACAGUAGUGAGCAAGUCCUAUUCCAGGAGUGCCAGUGUGCAACCCUAUAGCUGGCAGUGCUGCAAAAAAAGCUUCCAAUAGGAUUACAUUGACAAUUGGGUGGUUCUGAACGAGACAAGGAGCCCCAUUUGAAAUUUUUAUCUGAUAAGAGGAAACCCGUUGGAAAUGAUCGUUUGGAUAUUUCCCGGAUAUUAUCAACACAUGCUAUCCUCUGUGCUUGUGGUUGGGGCCGACACUAAUGUGAUCAUUAUGAGCCUGCUCUUAGGUUGGGUUGGGUUUCGUACUUAGGGCGGGGAUAAAAUUCUCCUUGCAGCUGUUUUAUGCUGAGAUAGGAAAAAUUAUUCACCAACAGUAAUUUUUUGUCCCGUCUUAAUAGUGAAUUAGUGAUUUUGAGUCUUAAAAUGAA